ensembl:lncRNA
GGGGAGCAGAGUUAAUGGAGCAGUACUGAACUAACGGGUGGUGUUAGGGGGAGCAGAGUUAAUGGAGCAGUACUGAACUAACUGGUGGUGUUAAGGGGAGCAGAGUUAAUGGAGCAGUACUGAACUAACGGGUGGUGUUAGGGGGAGCAGAGUUAAUGGAGCAGUACAGAACUAACGGGUGGUGUUAGGGGGAGAAGACAGACUGUUGGUUUAAUGGCUGUAGACUAGAGGACUGGCUGGUGAUGAUACUCAAAGGUGAUUUCACUCUGCAUCCUCCUGCUCUCUCUCCAUCUCUUGCUCCUUCUCCCCCCAUUAUUUUCUCUCCUCUCUUCUCCUCCUUCCUUAGGGGCAGACUGGUAUAAAGUUACAGGGCUCUCAGCUUUCUUGGAAGGAAUGACCACAUGUGUAGCUUGGGGAUUAGAUUAGCAGGAAGAGCAGACUUAGCCGGACUGGAAAUAGACCACUUUUUCACUGUUAAAAAGGCCCAGUACAAUAUAAUCAAUAGACGGCACUCAUCUGCUGUGGGGAGAGGAGCAGGAAGCCAUCGGAGAAGGCCUCCCUCAAGUGCGCCGUGAAGGACUGGCUACAGGGAGCUCAUGCUUAAUGAAGUUAUUAUUAAUAAUCACUGCGAUGCCUGUUUUGGACUUGUGUUGUGUCUCUAGUGGGUGAAGUGGUCUUUAUGUACAAAACCCGAUCUGCCCUCUCUUUGUAUGUCUGGAACUUAACCACUGAUGACUAGACUUCAUUUUCUGUUAAUGUAAGUGCAUAGCACAUUAGUAAAUGCCAUAUUAAUGACCAUGUAUAUAUUAUGCUUAGCAGUUGGUUUUUAGAUAUUAGUCUAUUUUCCAUAUAUUGUAUAUCAUGGAAACUCACGAGGAAAAACAAUGUUAAAUACACACUGACACGCAUGCAAACUGCCAAAAAGAAAUGCUCCAUAAACACAUACUCCAACACACGUAUUCCACACACACACACACACACACCACCUCCUCCCUCCCAGUUUCACUCUGAGCCUCCCCACAGGUGUUGGGUUACUCUGUAAAGUAGACUGAACCGGAGCACAAAUCAGAGGGCUGUCUGUGCUCUCGCUUCCUAUUUCACUUUGAAGUUUCCCUGGCUCUCAGGGACAGGGGGCACAAAGCCUGACUCGUGUGGGGGCUUUAGCACUUUCUGCUGGGGCUGAGAGUGUGGGAAAGGAGGGGGGUGAGUGUGUGCUGUCUUUGUUGCUUUGGACCUCAGUCGCUUGAGGACUAUGUUAGCUUAGUAGCCAGAGACUGUAGAACCCACUGAGGGAGGCCAAGAGGAGGAGGGAGGAGAGUUGUUCCCCUAGUGCCCACUGAGCUAACUGACAGUCCAGGACCUGAGUGUGUGUGUGUGAGGAGGAAGGAUUAGAGAGGGUGGGGCUACAGGUCACCCCCCUCUAGUGGAAGAGCACUGGUCACCAUGGACUAGGGUCUAAGUCGACAGCUCGGCUGUUUUUCCAUCUACAGCUCAGAGUGAAAAUAAACAGUGACUUGCCAUCUUCUGAAAAGCUGAAAUAGGGUCCUUGGUGGGCUAGGGCUACAUCUGUACACACUUAAAAAUAAAAUAAACCUAGAAUGCUAUAUGGAGUGGCUACGGGUAGAGUUUCUAUAUCCCACUUUGUCCAGGCUAAAAACAUUAUCUGCCAUGUGCCCGCUCCGCUGCCUACGUAGCUGCUGUGCUGAGUGCUCCGUUGCCUACGUAGCUGCUGUGCUGAGUGCUCCGUUGCCUACGUAGCUGCUGUGCUGAGUGCUCCGUUGCCUACGUAGCUGCUGUGCUGAGUGCUCCGUUGCCUACGUAGCUGCUGUGCUGAGUGCUCCGCUGCCUACGUAGCUGCUGUGCUGAGUGCUCCGCUGCCUACGUAGCUGCUGUGCUGAGUGCUCCGCUGCCUACGUAGCUGCUGUGCUGAGUGCUCCGCUGCCUACGUAGCUGCUGUGCUGAGUGCUCCGCUGCCUACGUAGCUGCUGUGCUGAGUGUUCCGCU